rnacentral:lncRNA from 1 species
UAAAGAAUUUUGAAAAGCAACUGGCUCUAUGGGAGAUGUAGAUGCAAUAGAUGGAGUGGAAGAAGGACGAGUGGAUGAGUAGAUAGAAGGGGAGAGUUUUGAUUUUGAAGUCGCAUAGGACUAGGAGAAGAUAGAGGUGGAAUUUGAGCAUGAGAUAAAAAAGGAGACGAUAUUAGAGAAUUUUAAUUCAAAUUUGAAAUAGGAGAUUGACCUGAUUCAGACGGAAAAGAUUGAGUCCACAUUUGAAGCCCCGGUUGAGUAGGAGGAGUAGCAGGAGGAGGAGCAUGAAUAGGAGGAGGAGGCGGCGGAGCAUGAAUAGGACGAAGAGGCGGCGGAGGCGGAGCAAGAGCAGGAGCAGGAGCAGGAACAUCUGCAUCAUCUGGAC